GAAACACAAGAUAAAGAAAACAAUUAAUAGUAAAAUUAGCAGAAAAGGGCAUGAUAUCGAUACUUGCAUCUCUUUGAGUGUACCUUUUGUGCGAUGCCAAAUGAUUGUCUCGCUGCGCUUAUAGUUCUUAAUUAUUUUAACACUGGAAAUUAAAUUAUCAUAAUACAGAAAUAAACCUAUUGUAGUUGUAAUUA